GUUGUGGGGGUGGCCAUAAUUCCCAGGCUCCCACAAAAGCUCCUGGCACCUCACUAUCUCCCCACUUCAUGGUGAUUCUCUGCCCCAGGAAACCCUCUUGUGCAUCAAGAUCUACUGCUUCACUGAGUGUGAUCCCUCAGCUAGCAGAGGCCAGAAAACAAUAGCAUUAUUUUAAGCCCAGCUGGCAACUAAGCACUACACAGUCAUUCACUCACUGCCCCAGUGGGAUGGGAAAGAGAACUGGAAGGGUAGAAGCGAGAAAAGUCAUGGAUUGAGGUAAAGAAAGUUUAAUAGGUACAGCAAAAGCCGUGAACAGAAGCAAAGCAGAACAAGGAGUUCAUUCUCCACUUCCCAC